GCCACGGUGGUACAGCGGUCAGAACGCUGGCCUUGUAAUCCUGGGGUCUCGGGUUCGAAUCCCGGCGGUGCCC
rnacentral:tRNA from 1 species